UUUGGCCCCCAAUCAAGCAAGGCUACCCGCUGAACUUAAGCAUAUCAAUAAGCGGAGGAAAAGAAACCAACAGGGAUUGCCCUAGUAACGGCGAGUGAACAGGCAAAAGCUCAGAUUUGAAAGCCUCUCGGGGCAUUGUAUUCUGAAGCCUUGAUUCUGAGAACCGGUGCCUAAGUCUUCUGGAAAGGAGCGCCAUGGAGGGUGAUAGCCCCGUCCGGCACUGACCUCAUUGUAGAAUCUUGGCGUGGAGUCGAGUUGUUUGGGAAUGCAGCUCAAAUGGGUGGUAUGCUCCAUCUAAAGCUAAAUAUCUGCGAGAGACCGAUAGCGAACAAGUACUGUGAAGGAAAGAUGAAAAGAACUUUGAAAAGAGAGUGAAAAAGUACGUGAAAUUGUUGAAAUGGAAGGGUAGGCCGCUAACCACGUAGAGCCGUGUUCGAGGGGAGGAUAAAAGCUGUAGAAUGUAGCUCCUCGGAGUGUUAUAGCUGCAAUGCAUACUCCCACUUGGGCGCGAGGACCUAAGGCUCUGCUAAAUGGUGGUCUACCAC
rnacentral:rRNA from 1 species